rnacentral:rRNA from 1 species
UACAUAGGGGGCAAGCGUUGUCCGGAUUCAUUGGGCGUAAAGAGCUCGUAGGCGGUUUAGAAAGUCGGAAGUUAAAACGUAAGGCUUAACCUUGCGGUGCUUUCGAUACUUCUAUGACUUGAGUGUGUCAGAGGUUGAUGGAAUUCCAGGUGUAGCGGUGAAAUGCGCAGAUAUCUGGAGGAACACCAGUAGCGAAGGCGGUCAACUGGGACAUUACUGACGCUGAGGAGCGAAAGCAUGGGUAGCGAACAGG